rfam:Vigna angularis cultivar Jingnong 6 chromosome 9, whole genome shotgun sequence.
UUUAAUUUGACACAAAACAAAGAAUCUUAUUAAGGUUUCAUGUGUUGUUAAUCUUUCUGAAAGAUAGGUGUGUCUUCAGAAACACAAACACAGGUAGUGCAUGACUGUUGUUAGCUUGUGUUGUAAGGUGUUGCCUGCAACCAGCACAACCUUCAUGUUUAGUUAUCAAGAUUAAGUUUGAAACUCUGAGUAUUGUCUGUUAUAAGCUGAAGAAAGAUGUCAAUCUAUUUAAUAUUUGUUGAAAAA